AUUGAACGCUGGCGGCAGGCCUAACACAUGCAAGUCGAGCGAGCGGCGGACGGGUGAGUAAUGUCUGGGAAACUGCCUGCUGGAGGGGGAUCACUCCUGGAAACGGUAGCUAAUACCGCAUACCAUCAGAUGUGCCCAGAUGGGAUUAGCUAGUAGGGGGGGUAACGACUCACCUAGGCGACGAUCCCUAGCUGGUCUGAGAGGAUGACCAGCGAGACUGGAACUGGGACACGGUCAAGACUCCUACGUGAGGCAGCAUUGGGGAAUAUUGCACAAUGGGCGCGAGCCUGAUGCAGCCAUGCCGCGUGUGUGAAGAAGGCCUUCGGGUUGUAAAGCACUUUCAGCGAGGAGGCGUUACCCGCAGAAGAAGCGCCGGCUAACUCCGUGCCAGCAGCCGCGGUAAUAC
rnacentral:rRNA from 1 species